GAUGAACGCUGGCGGCGUGCCUAAUACAUGCAAGUCGAGCGAACGGACGAGAAGCUUGCUUCUCUGAUGUUAGCGGCGGACGGGUGAGUAACACGUGGAUAACCUACCUAUAAGACUGGGAUAACUUCGGGAAACCGGAGCUAAUACCGGAUAAUAUUUUGAACCGCAUGGUUCAAAAGUGAAAGACGGUCUUGCUGUCACUUAUAGAUGGAUCCGCGCUGCAUUAGCUAGUUGGUAAGGUAACGGCUUACCAAGGCAACGUUGCAUAGCCGACCUGAGAGGGUGAUCGGCCACACUGGAACUGAGACACGGUCCAGACUCCUACGGUGGGCAGCAGUAGGGAAUCUUCCGCAAUGGGCGAAAGCCUGACGGAGCAACGCCGCGUGAGUGAUGAAGGUCUUCGGAUCGUAAAACUCUGUUAUUAGGGAAGAACAUAUGUGUAAGUAACUGUGCACAUCUUGACGGUACCUAAUCAGAAAGCCACGGCUAACUACGUG
rnacentral:rRNA from 1 species